AAAUGAGGUCUGAGACUUCUCUGACAUAUCACCAUUUAAUUGCUGUUUUCCUUGUUGAGAACAGGUUGCAAAUACUAAACCUGGUUUCCUCUUCCCUGAGCUAUGGUUUCACAGCUUCAUUUCAUGUGGAUCUUACUCUAAUGUCAUCUUGCCAGAGAAGUCUUCCAUGGCUAUCAUAUCUUAAGUAGCAUGACUCAGUUCCUCUGUUUGCUUUGGACUUGCUCAGUCCAAAUACCUGACCUCAUCUGGCAACUCCCAGAUGAUCCUCAGUCCAAGAGUGGAGUAAUAAUUUGGACAGCAGCAGAACCAAG
rnacentral:lncRNA from 1 species